rnacentral:rRNA from 1 species
CGAGGAAUUUUGCGCAAUGGGGGAAACCCUGACGCAGCAACGCCGCGUGGGUGAUGAAGGCUUUCGGGUCGUAAAGCCCUUUUGUCGGGGACGACCGCGACGGUACCCGACGAAGAAGCCACGGCUAACUACGUGCCAGCAGCCGCGGUAAUACGUAGGUGGCGAGCGUUGUCCGGAUUUACUGGGCGUAAAGCGCGCGCAGGCGGUUGGUUAAGUCCUCUGUGAAAUCGCCCGGCUCAACUGGGUGGCUGCGGAGGAGACUGGUCGACUGGAGGGGCCUAGAGGCCGGUGGAACUCCCGGUGUAGUGGUGAAAUGCGUAGAGAUCGGGAAGAACACCAGUGGCGAAGGCGGCCGGCUGGGGGCACCCUGACGCUGAGGCGCGAGAGCGUGGGGAGCAAACCGGAUUAGAUACCCCCGUAGUCC